AAUAAUAAAUUUUAUUACUCAAAUAGUAUUAUUUUUUGAGAAAGAGCCUUGGUGGUACCUUGAAGUUGCAUGGUGCAACCGGCCUCGCGAUAUAAUAACACCACCUUCGCAUCUUUAUAUAAUAUUGUUUUAUAAAAUUCAUUGUAUUUAAGAGGCAAUGAAACUUUAUUUAAUAAAAAUAUUAGACUAUUACAAAAUGACCAUUUGACACUAUAAUGAGACUUUUUGUUUUAUUUAUUGGUAAUUAGCAACUAAGGACGAGACAUGAAGUAAGUAAGGGAUAUCCUAAUUUUAGAAUUAUACUACACAUAAAAAUGUUAAAGGUGGUUUUAACUUUUAAGCCUCUAUAAAACCUACCUUCCCUCAACCUUAUGAUUUCAAUUUUCAAGACAAGAAAAAAGGGGAGAGAUUUAUGGCUAGAAAUGAUGCACGAUAUGCAAUUGCAUUGUUGAUAAUUAUAGUAGUAGUUAUUUGUUCUGUUAUUAUGGGAUUCCAUGACACUAUUUUUGAACAACGUUGGACUACACCUUAUUAUGUUGUUGGAUCUGAUCUAUUGGAUCCAUGUAUAGCUAGAUGCAAUAGAAACUUUCCUUAUGAUGCAGUUAAUAGGAUUUUUUGCCUUUGGAGAUGCUAUCAUCACCAUGGAUAAGUUAAGUUAAAAAUUAAUCUGUUAUGGAUUUGAGUUCUAUUUAAGAGUUUGUUAUUGGUCAAUAAAUUAUUGCAUACACAAGAUGAGAUUCGAACCUUCGAUACUUAUUUAAAUAGAUUAGUAGACAGUUACUAAAUCGUUAACUAGUUGGUUAACUCUUUUCUUGUUUACUAUAAAAUGUAUUUGAGUUUUUUGUUCAAAUAAAGAAGUGAUUCAUGCAUGUUUGCUGAUUUUGGGA